GGAUCCCCUAUUUGGGAAGAGGUAGGGCAUCCCGAGACGGGGGCCGUCCCACUGCGGUCGUUCUGCCGUUCCCGACGCAUUUGUCUCUCGUCCGAAGGACGCCGCAGCCGGUCGGGCAGCGCAAGCGUGACGGCCUGAGAGUCGGGAGAUGGCAGGUGACCGCUGGCGGAUCUCGUGUCCGUCGGCGGUUGUUAGCCGUCCCGACAGUGGCACGUCGCUCGACCGAGGUGUCGCAAGUCCCCUCGGGGACUCCACGUCUCCAUCUUAAAGAUGCGAUCGAGGAGUCGCAGGCUCCGCGACCCGCGUCGUCGCACCGCCUCGCGGUGGGCGCGUGGUCUCGCGGUACCGCUGGCGAAAUCCGCAUCGCUGGAGGCCGGAGGCUAGCGGCGAGUAGGUCGGUCACCCACCCGACCCGUCUUGAAACACGGACCAAGGAGUCCAACAUGUGCGCGAGUCAGUGGGUCUUGAACAGGCCCACGGGCGCAAUGAAAGCGAAGGCAGGCUCUCGCCGGCCGAGUUGGGAUCCCCUUCUCAGGGAGGGGCGCACCAACGACCCGUCCCGUCCGGUUCGCCGGUGGGAUGGAGUGUGAGCGUACACGUUGGGACCCGAAAGAUGGUGAACUAUGCCCGGACAGGACGAGGCCAGAGGAAACUCUGGUGGAGGUCCGCAGCGGUU
rnacentral:rRNA from 1 species